GAUGAAGAACGUAGCGAAAUGCGAUAAGUAAUGUGAAUUGCAGAAUUCAGUGAAUCAUCGAAUCUUUGAACGCACAUUGCGCCCUUUGGUAUUCCGAGGGGCAUGCCUGUUCGAGCGUCAUUACGCCCCUCAAGUCCCCUGUGGACUUGGUGUUGGGGAUCGGCGAGGCUGGUUUUCCAGCACAGCCGUCCCUUAAAUUAAUUGGCGGUCUCGCCGUGGCCCUCCUCUGCGCAGUAGUAAAACACUCGCAACAGGAGCCCGGCGCGGUCCACUGCCGUAAAACCCCCCAACUUUUUAUAGUUGACCUCGAAUCAGGUAGGACUACCCGCUGAACUUAAGCAUAUCAAUAAGCGGAGGA
rnacentral:misc_RNA from 1 species